ACGAACGCUGGCGGCAGGCUUAACACAUGCAAGUCGAACGCGUGCAGCAAUGCACGAGUGGCGCACGGGUGAGUAACGAGUGGAUAUCUGCCUUUUGGUUCGGAAUAACCCCGGGAAACUGGGGCUAAUACCGGAUGGUUCCUACGGGAUAAAGAUUUAUCGCCAAAAGAUGAGUCCGCGUCCGAUUAGCUAGUUGGUGAGGUAAUGGCUCACCAAGGCGACGAUCGGUAGCUGGUCUGAGAGGACGAUCAGCCACACUGGGACUGAGACACGGCCCAGACUCCUACGGGAGGCAGCAGUGGGGAAUAUUGGACAAUGGGGGCAACCCUGAUCCAGCCAUGCCGCGUGAGUGAUGAAGGCCUUCGGGUUGUAAAGCUCUUUUGGCGGGGACGAUGAUGACGGUACCCGCAGAAUAAGCCCCGGCUAACUUCGU
rnacentral:rRNA from 1 species